UACGGAGGGGGUUAGCGUUGUUCGGAAUGACUGGGCGUAAAGCGCGCGUAGGCGGGCUGGAAAGUUGGGGGUGAAAUCCCGGGGCUCAACCCCGGAAUGGCCUUCAAGACUCCCAGCCUUGAGUUCGGGAGAGGUGAGUGGAACUGCGAGUGUAGAGGUGAAAUUCGUAGAUAUUCGCAAGAACACCAGUGGCGAAGGCGGCUCACUGGCCCGAUACUGACGCUGAGGCACGAAAGCGUGGGGAGCAAACAGG
rnacentral:rRNA from 1 species